rnacentral:rRNA from 1 species
UACGGGGGGGGCAAGCGUUGUUCGGAAUUACUGGGCGUAAAGGGCGCGUAGGCGGCUUUUCAAGUCGGGCGUGAAAGCUCCGGGCUUAACCCGGAAACGUCGCUCGAUACUGUUGAGCUAGAGUGUGGAAGAGGCUACUGGAAUUCCGUGUGUAGCGGUGAAAUGCGUAGAUAUACGGAGGAACACCAGCGGCGAAGGCGGCGUCCUGGACUGGUACUGACGCUCAGGAGCGAAAGCGUGGGGAGCGAUCCGG